AGAGAGGGCUGCUCCUGGCUUCCUUGUGGUCCGCUCACAUCUCUCCUAUGUCAGGAGGCAUCACGUGCUAUAAAUACUACCCACACCAGCAUGCUUGCCAGAGAAUUGAGGAAAGAAAAUUUCUUGAUCAGAUUGUUUUUCCAGUGCCCCCUGAAGAUGCUGUUCAAACCUGUGUUUUGGCACAAUCACGGUUUUGAGAGCAGAAAGAGUUAACAACUUUUAAGUUUACUUGAUUAGAGCUUGAGCAACAAUGAGAGGAGUUACUGGACAGUUCUGAUUAAAGAAAAAAGUACACCCAGUAUUUAAGAUGUUCUGGAUUUCUCUCUUCUGCAGUUAAUGAAGCCCUUAAUCUUCUGUCACAAAAUUAUUUACUAUGGCAGGUGGACCAAGGAAAGAAAAUAGUGAAACAGAAACAGUAGAAUAAAAAAUAAUAGUAAAUAAUGUCUCUAUGGAAA
rnacentral:lncRNA from 1 species